rnacentral:rRNA from 1 species
CAGCAGCCGCGGUAAUACGGAGGGGGCUAGCGUUGUUCGGAUUUACUGGGCGUAAAGCGCACGUAGGCGAAUCGAUCAGUCAGGGGUGAAAUCCCAGAGCUCAACUCUGGAACUGCCUUUGAUACUGUCGAUCUGGAGUAUGGAAGAGGUGAGUGGAAUUCCGAGUGUAGAGGUGAAAUUCGUAGAUAUUCGGAGGAACACCAGUGGCGAAGGCGGCUCACUGGUCCAUUACUGACGCUGAGGUGCGGAAGCGUGGGGAGCAAACAGGAUUAGAUACCCGGGUAGUCCCUGUCUCUUAUAC